AUGAGUUGCUUGAGAUGGAACUGUCGAGGGCUUGGGAACCCAUCAAUAGUUUGAGAGCUUCGCAGUGUGGUGAAGCAGGAAGGGCACAGUUUCCUGUUUGUGAUGGAGACAAAAAUCCCAGCGAAAAGAGUGGAAAGUUUGCAGAAUCUUCUCGGUUUUGCAGGAUGCUUCGCUGUAAACAGUACCGGCCUUAGUGGCGGUAUUGGUUUGUUUCGGACGGAUGAGUUGGAUGUGUAG
rnacentral:rRNA from 1 species